rnacentral:rRNA from 1 species
AACGAACGCUGGCGGCGUGGAUAAGACAUGCAAGUCGAACGGAAUACCAUGAGUAGCAAUACAAGUGAUGUUUAGUGGCGAACGGGUGCGUAACACGUGGAUACAUUCCGGGAAGCGGGGGAUAGCCCAGGGAAACUUGGAUUAAUACCGCAUGUGAUCGAAAGAUCAAAGACGGGGACCGCAAGGCCUGUCACUUCCCGAUUGGUCCGCGGCCUAUCAGCUAGUUGGCGGGGUAAAAGCCCACCAAGGCGACGACGGGUAGCUGGUCUGAGAGGACGACCAGCCACACUGGAACUGAGACACGGUCCAGACACCUACGGGUGGCAGCAGUCGAGAAUCUUUCACAAUGGGGGCAACCCUGAUGGAGCGACGCCGCGUGGAGGAUAAGGUCUUCGGAUUGUAAACUCCUGUCAUGCGUGAACAAGAUUGCAGGGUUAAUAACCCGAGCAAGUUGAUGGUAACGCAAGAGGAAGAGACGGCUAACUCUGUGCCAGCAGCCGCGGUAAUC